GUCUUUGUGGUGUAAUGGGUAGCACACUCGGCGUGUAUUCCAGAAGUCCAGGUUCGAGUCCCGGCAAGCACA
rnacentral:tRNA from 1 species